UUCUGUUAACAUGAAGACGUAAAAUCCGGGGUACUUUUACCCUUCUUCGACCAAAUGACCAAAGCAGCCCUGCUGCUUCUCGCAAAAUAACUAUAGGGGAAGGAGCUGCCUAUCAGCCAUGAAAAGUGGACCCCCAAAAAGUAGUAGCAAUAUUUGACCAAAGGGUCAAAGCUGAAAGCCCCAUUCAUGUACAGUACUGAUUACAUUUGGCCCCGUAAUUUCUCUAGACCCUAUAGAAGAAGAGAAGCUGGUAAAGGUAACUCCCUAGAAUCCACAAGCGAAUGUUAGGCCUAGCUAGAAGCACCGUUGUGGAGGUUUUCGGUGACUGUCUCGAGAAGUUUAACCUCGACCCUGAUGCCUGUUUGGUCAGGAGAGUCAGGUCUCUUAGUCUUAAAUAAUUUGUACUCAACUUUAAUAAACUAGGGGGGAUGCAUUAAAAAAUAAUUACUUUGCUUAAGUCAUGGAUCCCGACAUGGAGAAGGGUAAUAGUGGAAUUUUGAAAAGGAUGUAGAGGAGGCAUGGAAAAAGGAAGAAAGAGGACAGAGAUUGCUUGCGCAAAUCUAGCUAAUCUGGGCUUCUGAUACAAGCAAGUGAAGUGAAGUGAAGUGAAUGGAGGGUGUUGAGGCAGAGAAGUGCAUGCUACUACAACCAAGAAUCCCAUGUUGAAAACCGUACAAAAAAAACACAAACACAACUCUCUUUACUUCUUGGCCACAUUAUGUUUUAGACAAGACUCUCGCAAACUAUUGUAGCCAGUAAGUAGAUGUACUCGCGAGGCAAAGCCCUCAUGUUCUCAGCUUCUUUGCACCAUCGCGUUCCAUCUUUAUAUCUUUUUAAGAUAGGACAAGAGAACCCGUCAAGGGCUUUUCUCAGAGGACAGAAGAAAUUAGAAGAGAAAACGUACAGACAACCAAUCCCAUGUCCAUGGUUUUGCUGCUGGUGCUGGAGCUUCUGCUGCGGGUGGAACAUGGUUAGGGAUGUUGGUGCUGUAUUUACUUGGGGCACUGAGGCACGUGUGGCCGUUGUCAUGAGAAUAUUUGCUAGGCAAAUGGGAGUUUUAGGCUUGAGUAGCAGCUGGUCUGGAUACGCAAGAAAAAUCAUUUCUUCUGUCCAAUCAUUGCAAAAAACUCUCUUCUUCUUCUUCUUUUUCGUCUUCUGCUUCCUUGGCUUUUGGUAAAUGGUGUCGGGGUUUGGUGGUGAUAUUGGCUAGAAGGCUCAAUCUCUCUAUUGUUAUGAUAAAGGACUACUUCCUAAUCUCUUGCUUUCACUUUUGUUACUAGCUUUUCUUUGUAUUUCUUCUUUGGCUGAUAAUAUUGUUGAUAUGUAAUUGGCAUCCAAAUGUUCUUGUGGAAGUGUAACAACAGGUUAAUUGUCAUGGUAUCUUUUGAUUAUUAUUUCUUCCAAGCAA